rnacentral:rRNA from 1 species
GAUGAACGCUAGCGGCAGGCCUAAUACAUGCAAGUCGAGGGGUAACAUUAGUACUUGUACUAGAUGACGACCGGCGCACGGGUGCGUAACGCGUAUGCAACCUACCCAUUACUGGGGGAUAGCCCGGGGAAACCCGGAUUAAUACCCCAUAGUAUUACCGAGUGGCAUCACUUGGUUCUUAAAGAUUUAUUGGUAAUGGAUGGGCAUGCGUACCAUUAGCUAGAUGGUGAGGUAACGGCUCACCAUGGCGACGAUGGUUAGGGGGCCUGAGAGGGUGAUCCCCCACACUGGUACUGAGAUACGGACCAG